UACAGAGGGUGCGAGCGUUAAUCGGAAUUACUGGGCGUAAAGCGCGCGUAGGCGGCUUUGCAAGUCGGGUGUGAAAUCCCCAGGCUCAACCUGGGAACUGCAUUCGAGACUGCAUUGCUAGAGUAUGGGAGAGGGGAGUGGAAUUUCCGGUGUAGCGGUGAAAUGCGUAGAUAUCGGAAGGAACGCCGGUGGCGAAAGCGGCGCGCUGGACCUCUUCUGACGCUGAGGCGCGAAAGCCAGGGGAGCAAACGGG
rnacentral:rRNA from 1 species